rnacentral:rRNA from 1 species
AUUGAACGCUGGCGGCAGGCCUAACACAUGCAAGUCGAGCGGAGCGGCGGACGGGCGAGUAAUGCCUAGGAAUCUGCCUAGUCGUGGGGGAGAAGGUCAGGAAACGGGAGCUAAUACCACAUACUAUCAGACGAGCCUAGGUGGGAUUAGCUAGUUGGUGGGGUAACGGCUUACCUAGGCGACGAUCCGUAACUGGUCUGAGAGGAUGAUCAGUCACACUGGAACUGAGACACGGUCCAGACUCCUACGGGAGGCAGCAGUGGGGAAUAUUGGACAAUGGGCGAAAGCCUGAUGCAGCCAUGCCGCGUGUGUGAAGAAGGUCUUCGGAUUGUAAAGCACUUUAAGUUGGGAGGCGGUACCAACAGAAUAAGCACCGGCUAACUACGUGCCAGCAGCCGCGGUAAUUC